CCUACGGGCGGCAGCAGUGAGGAAUAUUGGUCAAUGGACGCGAGUCUGAACCAGCCAAGUAGCGUGAAGGAUGACUGCCCUAUGGGUUGUAAACUUCUUUUAUAUGGGAAUAAAGUGUACUACGUGUGCGGUUUUGCAUGUACCUUAUGAAUAAGGAUCGGCUAACUCCGUGCCAGCAGCCGCGGUAAUACGGAGGAUCCGAGCGUUAUCCGGAUUUAUUGGGUUUAAAGGGAGCGUAGGUGGGUUGUUAAGUCAGUUGUGAAAGUUUGCGGCUCAACCGUAAAAUUGCAGUUGAAACUGGCAGCCUUGAGUACAGUAGAGGUGGGCGGAAUUCGUGGUGUAACGGUGAAAUGCUUAGAUAUCACGAAGAACUCCGAUUGCGAAGGCAGUUCACUGGACUGCAACUGACACUGAGGCUCGAAAGUGUGGGUAUCAAACAGGAUUAGAUACCCUUGUAGUC
rnacentral:rRNA from 1 species